GAGGUCUCGCCUGCCCUGUGACCAUGAGUUUAACGGCCGCGGUAUUUUGACCGUGCAAAGGUAGCGCAAUCACUUGUCUUUUAAAUGAAGACCUGUAUGAAUGGCAUAACGAGGGCUUAACUGUCUCCCUUUUCCAGUCAAUGAAAUUGAUCUCCCCGUGCAGAAGCGGGGAUUAAAACAUAAGACGAGAAGACCCUAUGGAGCUUUAGACAAAGAGCAGACCAUGUUAAACACACCUAAAUAAAGGACAAAACCAAUUGGCCCCUGCCCUUAUGUCUUUGGUUGGGGCGACCGCGGGGAAACAAAAAACCCCCAUGUGGACUGAAGACAUUCCUCUUCACAACCAAGAGCCACAGCUCUAAGCAACAGAACAUCUGACCAACAAGAUCCGGCACUAAGCCGAUCAACGGACCGAGUUACCCUAGGGAUAACAGCGCAAUCUCCUUUUAGAGCCCCCAUCGACAAGGAGGUUUACGACCUCGAUGUUGGAUCAGGACAUCCUAAUGGUGCAGCCGCUAUUAAGGGUUCGUUUGUUCAACG
rnacentral:rRNA from 1 species